UACGGAGGGUGCGAGCGUUAAUCGGAAUUACUGGGCGUAAAGGGUGCGUAGGUGGUUGUGUAAGUUAUCUGUGAAAUCCCCGGGCUCAACCUGGGCAGGUCAGAUAAUACUGCAUAACUCGAGUAUGGGAGAGGGUAGUGGAAUUUCCGGUGUAGCGGUGAAAUGCGUAGAGAUCGGAAGGAACACCAGUGGCGAAGGCGGCUACCUGGCCCAAUACUGACACUGAGGCACGAAAGCGUGGGGAGCAAACAGG
rnacentral:rRNA from 1 species